UCCUACGGGGGGCUGCAGUGGGGAAUAUUGGACAAUGGGCGAAAGCCUGAUCCAGCCAUGCCGCGUGAGUGAUGAAGGCCUUAGGGUUGUAAAGCUCUUUCAGCUGGGAAGAUAAUGACGGUACCAGCAGAAGAAGCCCCGGCUAACUUCGUGCCAGCAGCCGCGGUAAUACGAAGGGGGCUAGCGUUGUUCGGAAUCACUGGGCGUAAAGCGCACGUAGGCGGAUCGAUAAGUCAGGGGUGAAAUCCCGAGGCUCAACCUCGGAACUGCCUUUGAUACUGUCGAUCUUGAGUCCGGGAGAGGUGAGUGGAACUCCGAGUGUAGAGGUGAAAUUCGUAGAUAUUCGGAAGAACACCAGUGGCGAAGGCGGCUCACUGGCCCGGUACUGACGCUGAGGUGCGAAAGCGUGGGGAGCAAACAGGAUUAGAUACCCCAGUAGUCA
rnacentral:rRNA from 2 species